rnacentral:rRNA from 1 species
UACGUAGGGUCCGAGCGUUGUCCGGAGUUACUGGGCGUAAAGGGCGCGCAGGCGGCGGUGCUGGCCCGGCGUGAAAGCCCCCGGCUCAACCGGGGAGGGUCACGCGAUACUGAUCGACUCGAAGGCAGGAGAGGGAAGUGGAAUUCCCGGUGUAGUGGUGAAAUGCGUAGAUAUCGGGAGGAACACCAGUGGCGAAGGCGACUUCCUGGCCUGUUCUUGACGCUGAGGCGCGAAAGCUAGGGGAGCAAACGGG